UGAGUUGGUUUGUAAAGAGAUUUUUCCUUUGGAGGUUUCAGUCAGUUGUGUUCACUUGUAAUUCUUCCUGGAUUUCCCUGGGAAGUGAGGAGAGACAGGUCUGCAGGAGGGAUUUCCUGAGGAAAAGUUGUGCUGGUGUCACUUCACCCUAACCAGGGAAAGGCUGCAGGGAGGAAAAUCAGCAUUUUUAGAUCCCAUUCUGCUCCAACUGAGAAAUUCCAAGGACAAAACCAACAGGGCACUGAUUCCCUUCAAUCAGCAAUCCAGCCAGAAAUGCAGAUAGAACACGGAGCCAUCCAAAUCCAGUGAGAGGACUGAGGAAUGCUGGGGAGCUGGCAGUGAACUCCAGCCAGAAAUGGAGUGGGAAGGGCUGGAAAAACCUCCCAGACCUCAGAACCUCCAGCCAUGCCCUGCUCCCCCUCACCUGGGAUAAUUCCAGCUUCGGUCAGAGCUGCACCACGACACCAACCCAAGUCCUGGCCUUCACAAAAACCCCGUGGGCUGCACUUAAAUCCACUCAGAGAGGACAGAACAAAUCUUUCAUGGGGAGAGGAAGAGCUCUCCUGCACCCAAACUGUGAGACUCCAUCCCUGGCCGCCCCCUGUGCAAAUGGAAUGUCUGCAGAUGUUUGGGUAUUGCUGCCCUGCAGUACCUGCUUUGCCACCUAGGGAAAGCUCCAGAGCUCAGAUAUUUUUCACUGUUGGAACAGUCUUUUUUUUUUUUUUUUUUUUUAAUUUGCUAUGGUGUUUAUAACAAAAAAAAAAAAAAAAGGAAAAUAUUUAAAAAAAGGAAAAAUCCCUUGACGGCAAGUCUUGGCCUUUUGCUGGUGUUUUCUGUUCAGUGUCAUGAAAACUGUAUUUGCAGAAGACUAACACUUUUGUUUGUACUGUUGCUUAACUACUUUUCUAGGGGAAAAUGCUUUAAAAAUGCUGUAAUUACGCAUUUCUAAUGAAAAAUAAAUGUGUAUUUAUGAAUA